CGGCGCCGCUGCCACGUUGCAGUUGGCUUCGUUCUCGUUCUCGAAUUUGCAAUAUGGAAAAGAAGCGGCACGGCAGCAGCGAAUAACAGUGAAAACAGCAACAGCAUAGAAACGUGUGGCAACAUCUGCUGCUGCUGCUGCGGUUUCUGCUGCUGCUGCUGCUUCUGUUUUCUACUCCUGCGACUGCUGCUGCCGCUUGGUGCUUCUGCUCCUUGGGACUCGAAAUCACAUCGUUGUCGUCAGUCACGGACUCAAAUUUAACGCAAGAAAAAACGUUCAAGUACAAAAAAAGUACGAAGAAAACAAGUACAAAAAAAAGUACGAAGCAAAAAAAGAAAGCAGCAUCAACCCUUCCCAGUUCCAGUUCCACGUCCCACGUCGCGCACUCCUCUCGUUUGGGGACUCGCCAUGCUGGACUAGCAGCACACGCCUGUUGGGACACAGCCGUGCAGCCGUAAAGAGAGUACCGUACCCGUGUCACAUCGGUUCUGCCAGACGCCGCCGCCGCCUGGUUAGGCCUGUCUGUGUGGAGGUGCAACGGGGGCUACAA